CCUGGCGGCUGUAGCGCGGUGGUCCCACCUGACCCCAUGCCGAACUCAGAAGUGAAACGCCGUAGCGCCGAUGGUAGUGUGGGGUCUCCCCAUGCGAGAGUAGGGAA
rnacentral:rRNA from 2 species